UGCCAAUUUGACAUUAUGGAUUGGAUCAACAUAAAGAUAUAUUGGAGUUCGCAGAAGGCGAACCGCCUUGGAGCACGGUACGAAGGCGUGAUCCGGGAGCGCAAGGCGGGAAGGAAAAGCAGGGGAUAAAAAGGAGAAAUUUUGCGGUCUAUAAAGAGACAGUAGCCGGUAAAAAGAGUCGACAGUCGAUUAAGAGCGAAUAGUCGGUAUAAUUAUAAUAAGAGAGUUAUUGUAUGUAAA